CUUGGUCAUUUAGAGGAAGUAAAAGUCGUAACAAGGUCUCCGUUGGUGAACCAGCGGAGGGAUCAUUACAGAGUUGCAAAACUCCUAAACCCACUGUGAAUCUACCCAUCGUUCCUUCAGCAGGCGGCCCCCGGGGGGGCCCCGCCGCGAGGCGCCUGCUGAAGGACAACCAAACUCUGUUACCUAAGUGUUCUCUGAGCCACUAUACAAAAGUCACAACUUUCAACAACGGAUCUCUUGGUUCUGGCAUCGAUGAAGAACGCAGCGAAAUGCGAUAAGUAAUGUGAAUUGCAGAAUUCAGUGAAUCAUCGAAUCUUUGAACGCACAUUGCGCCCAUCAGUAUUCUGUUGGGCAUGCCUGUUCGAGCGUCAUUUCCACCCUCAAGCCCUGGCUGCUUGGUGCUGGGGUAUUCUACAGCUGCUGUAGGCCCCGAAAAUCAGUGGCGGUCUCGCCGGGACCCCGAGCGUAGUAGAUCUCUCUCGCUCAGGGGCGACCGGUGGGUUUCUAGCCGUUAAACCCCCCAAAUUUUAAAGGUUGACCUCGGAUCAGGUAGGAAUACCCGCUGAACUUAAGCAUAUCAAUAAGCGGAGGA
rnacentral:rRNA from 1 species